AUUGAACGCUGGCGGAAUGCUUUACACAUGCAAGUCGAACGGUAGAGGGGCAACCCUUGAGAGUGGCGAACGGGUGAGUAAUGUAUCGGAACGUGCCCAGUCGUGGGGGAUAACGUAGCGAAAGUUACGCUAAUACCGCAUACGAUCUAAGGAUGAAAGCGGGGGAUCGCAAGACCUCGCGCGAUUGGAGCGGCCGAUAUCAGAUUAGGUAGUUGGUGAGGUAAAGGCUCACCAAGCCGACGAUCUGUAGCUGGUCUGAGAGGACGACCAGCCACACUGGGACUGAGACACGGCCCAGACUCCUACGGGAGGCAGCAGUGGGGAAUUUUGGACAAUGGACGCAAGUCUGAUCCAGCCAUUCCGCGUGAGUGAAGAAGGCCUUCGGGUUGUAAAGCUCUUUCGGCCGGGAAAAAAUCGCAUGGGCUAAUAUCCUGUGUGGAUGAUGGUACCGGAAUAAGAAGCACCGGCUAACUACGUGCCAGCAGCCGCAGUAA
rnacentral:rRNA from 1 species